rnacentral:ncRNA from 1 species
GAAAGUCGUGUGCAAUGAAAAUUUCAAGCACGGCUUGAGGAGGGAUUUUUACUUGUUUAAUUAAUUUAAGAUUAACAUUUACUUUAUUUAGUAAGGAACUUAUCUACUCCAU